rnacentral:rRNA from 1 species
UACAGAGGGCUCAAGCGUUAAUCGGUGUCACUGGGCUUAAAGGGUGCGUAGGCGGGUCUGCAAGUGCUUUGUGAAAUCCCACGGCUCAACCGUGGAAUGGCUUGGCAUACUGCAGGUCUUGAGGUUGGUAGGGGCUGUCGGAACUCUAGGUGUAGCGGUGAAAUGCGUAGAUAUCUAGAGGAACACCAAAGGUGAAGACAGGCAGCUGGGCCAAUCCUGACGCUGAGGCACGAAAGCGUGGGUAGCGAACGGG